rnacentral:rRNA from 1 species
CGCGUAGGCGGUUCGCUAAGUCGAAUGUGAAACUCUGGGCUUAACCCAGAGCCUGCAUUCGAUACUGGCGGGCGUAGAGUUCUGGAGGGGAUAGCGGAAUUCCUGGUGUAGCGGUGAAAUGCGUAGAUAUCAGGAGGAACACCGGUGGCGAAGGCGGCUAUCUGGACAGAGUCUGACGCUGAGGCGCGAAAGCUAGGGGAGCAAACAGGAUUAGAUACCCUGGUAGUCCUAGCCCUAAACGAUGGAUACUUGCUGUAACUGGGAUUGAAUCCAGUCGUGGCGAAGCUAACGCAUUAAGUAUCCCGCCUGGGGAGUACGGUCGCAAGGCUGAA